ensembl:lncRNA
CAGUGACACCUGUCAAGAAGGUGGGAUAUAUUAGGCAGCACGUGAACAGUCAGCUCACAAGGUUGAAGUGUUGGAACCAGGAUGCACUAUGGGAAGGAGGCAAGCUGGCUGAGGAAGUAUGAUGCUCUGGGCAAUGUUCUGCUGGUAAACCUUGGCCAUAGCCCUCCUCUGAUUCAACAAGAAAUCCUGAGAGAAGACCAGAGAAGAUCCUGGCUACGAGACAGAUGGCGUCCCCCCCUGAAUCUCACCUGCAGUGGCCAGAGUGAGCUGUGAAGCACACGUCCAAUUGCCCUCAGGUGAUCCUAUAAAUGUUUCAUUGGUGCAUGUAUCUGAUUCAAGCUCUUUAGUUCGAACCUGUUCCCGGGUGAGAGGCCCUAAGACAAAACCAUGUGUGUUUCUUCAAGAACGUGCUUUUCUUUUUCUUCAGCACGACUCAAAAGGUGUAGGCAAUGUUUAGCCUUUACGAAUUACAAGUACUGGUAACUUUAAUUAACAACCUGUCACAUUAUCUUCUCAUGGUGAACAACAUGUCUUAAAAAUCAGCCUACUUCAAGGACUCUCUCAAUUCACACAUGAUGAUGAUGAUAAUAAUAAUAAUAAUAAUAAUAAUAAUAAUAAUAAUAACAAUAAACUGCUGGUUCUCCACUUAGCACUUAAGAUAUAGAAAAGGAAGGACAUGUGAAUACUCUUUUGUAGAAAAAUCACUUACAUUUCACAUGUGAAAAACAUGAUGGUACAUUUUGCCACAUGAGGCACCGAAAUCUCACAAGUGAAUAAACGUGAAAAAUAAUAGUGAAAAAUCCAAAAUAAAUGAAAAUUCAAGCAAAAUAUAAUCAUGUGAGAAAAUGUGUAAAUAAAGGAAGU